rnacentral:rRNA from 1 species
CUGACCGAUAGUGAACCAGUACCGUGAGGGAAAGGCGAAAAGAACCCCGGCGAGGGGAGUGAAAAAGAACCUGAAACCGUGUACGUACAAGCAGUGGGAGCCCCACCACCAAAGCAUUCUCUGGUGUUGAAGGCCCUGCAAAGCAGCAUCGCGGUGGCGGAGCGUCGUUUGCGACGCCCAACACACAAAACAAGCGGUGAGUGCUUUGGGGUGGGGUGACUGCGUACCUUUUGUAUAAUGGGUCAGCGACUUAUAUUCUGUAGCAAGGUUAACCGAAUAGGGGAGCCGGAGGGAAACCGAGUCUUAAUUGGGCGUUAAGUUGCAGGGUAUAGACCCGAAACCCGGUGAUCUAGCCAUGGGCAGGUUGAAGGUUGGGUAACACUAACUGGAGGACCGAACCGACUAAUGUUGAAAAAUUAGCGGAUGACCUGUGGCUGGGGGUGAAAGGCCAAUCAAACCGGGAGAUAGCUGGUUCUCCCCGAAAGCUAUUUAGGUAGCGCCUCGUGAAUUCAUCUCCGGGGGUAGAGCACUGUUUCGGCUAGGGGGCCAUCCCGGCUUACCAACCCGAUGCAAACUGCGAAUACCGGAGAAUGUUAUCACGGGAGACACACGGCGGGUGCUAACGUCCGUCGUGAAGAGGGAAACAACCCAGACCGCCAGCUAAGGUCCCAAAGUCAUGGUUAAGUGGGAAACGAUGUGGGAAGGCCCAGACAGCCAGGAUGUUGGCUUAGAAGCAGCCAUCAUUUAAAGAAAGCGUAAUAGCUCACUGGUCGAGUCGGCCUGCGCGGAAGAUGUAACGGGGCUAAACCAU